rnacentral:lncRNA from 7 species
ACUUUCGCUUGCUGCCGGGAGAGGAGUGGGUGUGCUUUCCAAGCCGGGCAGCUUCAUCAUCCACCAACCUGCGAGGGACAGUCCUGGACUCACACAGGGCCACCAACCCCCGUGGUACCACGUCCCCAUUGUCACUCACCGAGGAUGAGGGCCACGGCCAUUGGUGCCAUGAGGCAGGAGCAGCGUGGGGACAGCGAGGCUGCAGUGAGGACACAGGGAGAGGUUUCACGCUUUGUCCCCAAACUGCUGCCAGCGUGUGGCUUUGCAUGCUGUCCCCCAUGGGAUGCCAAACACAGCAUGGAUGGCUCCAGUGUGGUCAGGCAGCCCAUGUCACAGUGGUGACAGCUGCACUGGGGCACCUCUGCAGGGCCAGAUGGGUACAAGAGUGACAUGCAGCCCUUGUUCAUUGCUUAUGGAAAUGCACCACCUCUGGUGGGACUGCGCAGAGAAAUGGCGUUUUGUGGCUGAGAAGGCUUUCUGUCAGACUGCGUCACUGUGCUCCCUGCAGCUGUGCCCAUUCCCAUGGAAAUAAGUGGGAGGUAUUUUUUUCGGAGCUUCCCCCAUCCCUGAUACCCACCCAGGCACUCAGUGCAGCCCAGGCAUGGCCUGGAGUUGUGGGCCCAUGGGGUCAUGCUGUGGGGCUGCGCACCCCAAAUCUGUAGGGAAAUCAAUGGAGAAUGUUCAGGAUAUGCAGAGGAUAUGCGUCUCUUGGCUUUGGUAUGAAACUGGAGGAGAAUUCACAACCUACACUCAGGACUGAUGUCUGCCUUUGGGAAGAGAAGGACGGGCAUCAUUUGGUGCCCACAUUUUUGCUGUGCUGGAUGUACAUGCUGUCAUUUUGGGUGGGAUACUUCGGGUGUGUUUGAAUUUAAAUAAACCUAUGG